GGGCUUGACAUCCCACGAACCUGCCCGAAAGGGUUGGGUGCCCGCAAGGGAGCGUGGAGACAGGUGGUGCAUGGCUGUCGUCAGCUCGUGUCGUGAGAUGUUGGGUUAAGUCCCGCAACGAGCGCAACCCUCACCCCUUGUUGCCACCGGGUAAAGCCGAGCACUCUAGGGGAACUGCCAGCGUCAAGCUGGAGGAAGGCGAGGAUGACGUCAAGUCAUCAUGCCCCUUACGCCCUGGGCUACACACGUGCUACAAUGGCCGGCACAAAGGGAUGCAAGACCGCGAGGUGGAGCUAACCCCAAAAAACCGGUCUAAGUUCAGAUUGCAGUCUGCAACUCGACUGCAUGAAGGAGGAAUCGCUAGUAAUCGCGCAUCAGCACGGCGCGGUGAAUACGUUCCCGGGCCUUGUACACACCGCCCGUCACACCACGAAAGCUGGCUGUACUCGAAGUCGCUGAG
rnacentral:rRNA from 1 species